rnacentral:rRNA from 1 species
CUACGGGGCGCACCAGUGGGGAAUAUUGCACAAUGGAGGAAACUCUGAUGCAGCAACGCCGCGUGGAGGAUGACACUUUUCGGAGCGUAAACUCCUUUUAUAUAGGAAGAAGAUGACGGUACUAUAUGAAUAAGCGCCGGCUAACUCCGUGCCAGCAGCCGCGGUAAUACGGAGGGCGCAAGCGUUACUCGGAAUCACUGGGCGUAAAGAGCGUGUAGGCGGAUUAAAAAGUCAGAAGUGAAAUCCUAUAGCUUAACUAUAGAACUGCUUCUGAAACUCUUAAUCUAGAAUAUGGGAGAGGUAGAUGGAAUUUCUGGUGUAGGGGUAAAAUCCGUAGAGAUCAGGAGGAAUACCGAUUGCGAAGGCGAUCUACUAGAACAUUAUUGACGCUGAGACGCGAAAGCGUGGGGAGCAAACAGGAUUAGAUACCCUCGUAGUC